GACGAACGCUGGCGGCGUGCUUAACACAUGCAAGUCGAACGGUAAGGCCCUUCGGGGUACACGAGUGGCGAACGGGUGAGUAACACGUGGGUGAUCUGCCCUGCACUUCGGGAUAAGCCUGGGAAACUGGGUCUAAUACCGGAUAGGACCACUGCCUGCAUGGGGGGUGGUGGAAAGCUUUUGCGGUGUGGGAUGGGCCCGCGGCCUAUCAGCCUGUUGGUGGGGUGACGGCCUACCAAGGCGACGACGGGUAGCCGGCCUGAGAGGGUGACCGGCCACACUGGGACUGAGAUACGGCCCAGACUCCUACGGGAGGCAGCAGUGGGGAAUAUUGCACAAUGGGCGCAAGCCUGAUGCAGCGACGCCGCGUGAGGGAUGACGGCCUUCGGGUUGUAAACCUCUUUCAGCACCGACGAAGCGCAAGUGACGGUAGGUGCAGAAGAAGGACCGGCCAACUACGUGCCAGCCGCCGCAGUAA
rnacentral:rRNA from 1 species